UAUUCAAUGUCACUGUGUCAUCAUUUGCUCCUCCUUUAUCUGCUAUGAAGUGUUGUAGAUGCAAUGAAAAUGAAGCUGUACUGAGAUGCAGACAAUGUGGUGUGUUGAGAUAUAUUUGUCAAGAAUGCGAUGAUGUCCAUAAGAAUAAUCCUCUCUAUGAUCGAGAAGUGUGGUUGGAUGGUUAUUUUCAAUAUAUCAAGCCAACACAAUCCAUUUCAUCUGAUGGAAAGAUUUGCAGCAUUGAUCGAUCAUGUCCCAUCCUUUACCCAUCAUCAUGUCAGUUGUGUAAUGAAUCUAUCAUCAAAACUACCAACAGCUCUCUUGUGAUUAUGUUCAAUGUGAAGGACGAUUUGAUCUUAAUUGGUUCACUGUACAUUUGCUCUUCAUUUGGAAGUGGUCACCAAUUUCUGUUGACAGUAUAAUUGAGAGUGGCUGGUGGCCUGGUAGCCCUGAAAAUUUUCAUUACAUAUUUAGUCAAGAUGUCUUUAAUUUGUGGGAUGCAUUUAGAAAGAGGAUGCCUGGGUCAUCACAAUCUGCUUUUGUAAGAAGUUUGGAAGAUAUUUCCAGCUCUAGAGGAAGGGAAAUUGUUAUCAAUCAUUUGCUGAAUGGAGCUAUUGCCAACAUGAAAUUGACCUUCUUCAUGAGCAGACAUGGAAAAAUUGCCCUCCUUGUAGUAUUGAUCAACAUUCAUGUCAUGUUGAUGGAAAUCAAAAAGUGUACAGAUUCAGCAAAGUACCAAGGGGUCCAGUCCAGUGUUAUUAUCGUGAUGUAUUGAUUGCAAACAAUAGUUUUGUGGACUCUCAUUUAAAAAGUCUUGGUUCAAAGUCAAUUCAGGUAAUGUGUUAUGAAGUAGGAUUGAAAGGUAGUAAUCUAUUAUUAGGUUAAAGCAUUUUUUAUAGAAUGAAGAUAAUUCUUGUGGUGACACCCAUUGGAAAGCUCGAAAAUGGUCUCCAAAUCAAAGAAAAACCAAGACGAGACUGGACUUGAAGUUGCUGGAUGCAGGCACUCGAUUGCUCAAGCUACUUUGAACAUGUUCAGAGGAGAAAUUUAUGGCUAUGCUCACUAC